rnacentral:rRNA from 1 species
ACGUAGGUGGCAAGCGUUGUCCGGAUUUACUGGGCGUAAAGGGCGUGCAGGCGGUUUGUUUAGUCUAGGGUGAAAGCUCCCGGCUUAACUGGGAGAGGUCCUUGGAUACUGGCAAACUUGAGGGAGGCAGAGGAAAGUGGAAUUCCCGGUGUAGUGGUGAUAUGCGUAGAUAUCUGGAGGAAUACCGGUGGCGAAGGCGGCAUCCUGGACCGGCAUUGACGCUGAUGAGCGAAAGCCAGGGGAGCAAACGGGA